rnacentral:rRNA from 1 species
CAGUCGCCGCGGUAAUACAGAGGGUGCGAGCGUUAAUCGGAUUUACUGGGCGUAAAGCGUGCGUAGGCGGCUUUUUAAGUCGGAUGUGAAAUCCCUGAGCUUAACUUAGGAAUUGCAUUCGAUACUGGGAAGCUAGAGUAUGGGAGAGGAUGGUAGAAUUCCAGGUGUAGCGGUGAAAUGCGUAGAGAUCUGGAGGAAUACCGAUGGCGAAGGCAGCCAUCUGGCCUAAUACUGACGCUGAGGUACGAAAGCAUGGGGAGCAAACAGGAUUAGAUACCCGCGUAGUCCCUGUCUCUUAUAC